UUAAUUGAAACCAAAAAGAGGUAUAUCACUGUUAAUGAUAUCAUUGAAUAAUAUACUAUUCCAAUUAAG
rnacentral:tRNA from 2 species